rnacentral:tRNA from 1 species
GGCCGCCGGCGGGUGGUCUAGUGGUAAAGACGUUAGCCUCGUAAGCUGAAGACCCGGGUUCGAUUCCCGGCUCGGCCA